UCGGUGAAGCGUGACGGGCACUGCGAGGGCGCAGGGCCACCUGCAUUUCUCUGCGUCGCCAUUCUUCCCCUGCCUUCCCCAUCCCGACCAGCUUCCCAUUCCAGCUGCCGACCCCCUAGCCCGCCCUGAUCCCUGAGCAGGGAGGGGUCUUCCUCUUUUUACUCCAGGGGAGACUGAAGCAGGGAUGAGGUGGGGAAAGAGCAGGGUGGCACCUACGGAGUCCCGGGGUAGCCCAAGCAUUUGGCAUCAUUACGUUAACGCUGCAGUAGUUCUGUGACUUACAUGUUCCUUACGGAGGAAACGGAAAAAGACUGCCGGAGAUUCCCAAAGAUGUCAUCUCAAGGACAUACUUGGGCCCGUCAGGUGAAGAAAGAGGGUGAGGAAGAGGACCCCCUGGACCUGCUGAUCUCCCGCUCUGGCUGUGCUGCUUCCCACUAUGCAGUGCAGGAGUGCAUGGCCCAGCACCAGGACUGGCGACAGUGCCAGCCACAGGUGCAGGCCUUCAAGGACUGCAUGAGUGAACAGCAGGCAAGACGGCGAGAGGAGCUGCAGAGGAGGAAGGAGCAAGACAGUACCCACAGCUGAGCCCCCAAACCAUCUAUCCCCAGAGGAUGGCCUGCAGAAACUAGCACCCAGACAAAUCCUAAAUAGUGGAAGUGUGGGCCAAAAGAGGAGGAAAUACAGGUCAGAUUGAGGAUCAUACUCCAAGUGUGUCUUGUUCUACAGCCUAUGCUGUUUUCUGCUCUGCUCUUUCACAAGCAUCUGGUGCCUAGUAUGAUGCUUAACACAGUUACUGUACCUACAAAAUGAAGUUCUCCUGGAAAGGAAUGGGCAGCUUCCCUUGCCAGUCUGGGCUGUGACAUCAGCCAAUGAAAGGCAAGGGAAUAUUGCUGGCAUUACUUUAAGAUGAAUACAGUGACUAUCUUCUACAAUUAACUUGUCUUGAGACUCACCUUCCAUCAAGAAAGUUUCUCAACUAGAAAUAAUCAAACCUACAUAAAUGCCCAUCAAGAGGGGGAACUUGUUAAAUAAAUCAUGGAACACCCAUUUACAAGCACAUUAUGCAGCUGUAAGAAGGAAAAAGAGCCGAAACCGGUUUGGCUCAGUGGAUAGAGCGUUGG